rnacentral:rRNA from 1 species
UACGUAGGGCGCAAGCGUUGUCCGGAAUUAUUGGGCGUAAAGAGCUUGUAGGCGGUUUGUCGCGUCUGCUGUGAAAUUUCGGGGCUCAACCCCGAACUUGCAGUGGGUACGGGCAGACUAGAGUGUGGUAGGGGAGACUGGAAUUCCGGGUGGAGUGGUGAAAUGCGUAGAGAUCCGGAGGAACACCAGAGGCGAAGGCGGCCUACUGGGUCAGUACUGACGCUGAGCCGCGAAAGCCAGGGGAGCGAACGGG